rnacentral:rRNA from 1 species
CCCCAGACUCCUACGGGAGGCAGCAGUGAGGGAUAUUGGUCAAUGGGGGAAACCCUGAACCAGCAACGCCGCGUGAGGGAAGACGGUUUUCGGAUUGUAAACCUCUGUCCUCUGUGAAGAUAAUGACGGUAGCAGAGGAGGAAGCUCCGGCUAACUACGUGCCAGCAGCCGCGGUAAUACGUAGGGAGCGAGCGUUGUCCGGAUUUACUGGGUGUAAAGGGUGCGUAGGCGGCCCUGCAAGUCAGAAGUGAAAUCCAUGGGCUUAACCCGUGAACUGCUUUUGAACCUGCAGGACUUGAGUGGAGUAGAGGUAGGCGGAAUUCCCGGUGUAGCGGUGAAAUGCGUAGAGAUCGGGAGGAACACCAGUGGCGAAGGCGGAUUACUGGACGAUAACUGACGGUGAGGCGCGAAAGCGUGGGGAGCAACCAGGAAUAGAUACCCCAGUAUG